rnacentral:lncRNA from 1 species
UGUAAGAGACUUGUAAUACCCUUAAAUAAAAUAAUAAUAACAAUAAUAAAUAAAUAUAUAUAUAUAUAAGAAUUUUUUUUUCUUCGUUUUCCUCUCUCUUCCUCUCCUCCUUCAACUCCCUUUCUUCUUUUUUUUCACCGCCUGCACCUCCUUCCAGCCGCCGGAAGCUUCUCCUUUUUCUUCCCCUCCCUCACUUGUGUCGCCUCCUCCUUCCUCUCCUUUGUUGCCAACGUCGAACUUGAAGAAAAGGAGCUGCUGCUGUGCAACAGCCGUCUUCCAUCUUUAUUCUGCAAAUUCGACGCAGAAAACAAGGUCCCCGCUGUUGAAAACCCCCAAGCCGAGCUCUCUGGCGGUUUUCUCCCUCCAGCAGUAGUGUAUAGCCUCGCCGGAGCUGAAACUUUCUGGCCUCGAUCUGGUAGCUUCUCGCAAGUUUUCGGCAAAAGCAUAUGAAUUUCGGACUCCCCGCAACUCAAGCUUGCGUAGCUGCUUCCGGAUUCGAAAUCUGAUAUCGUUGGCGGUACCUGUCUUUGGACUCCAGUGUUUUCCGAACGCAUAGAAUUUUAAAUCUUUGACUUGAUAAAAUUCAUUUGAACCUUAAAUAUUAUCUAAAAACUUUUAGAAAUUAAUAACCCAUUAAUUGUUAGUUGUAAAUAACUAAUUAGUUUAAUUUGAUUAAUUGAUAGUUUAAUUAUAAAUAUUAUAAAUUAAUUAGUCUGAUUAAUUAUUAUUCGAUUUGUAAUAAUUACGUUUGUGAAUAAUUAAUUAAAUACCAGAAAUUUUUUAUAGGUUGGUUGUGGAAUAAAUAUUAAUGAUGGAUCGUCUGUUAUUAAUUGUGAUCUGUGAUGUGUUGCAGAGUCGGAAAAGUAAUGCAGUUAUAGGUGACCCAAUUUCUGAUAAAUAUGUAUUGAAUAUUGAAGUGUUUUUAGCAGGUUUUGGACCUAUUUUACCGGAAGGGGAGGAGGGAGGGUAAACAUCCAUAUUUUUUGGAGGUUCUGCCGAAUUUUCGAUAGAGUUUUUGAGUCGAAAUUUCUUAGGCAGUUUAAUCUAGGAGUAUAGGCUUAGAAAAAAUUAAGAAUAUCUCAUUAAUCGAGUUAUAUUUGUGAAUAGAUAAUCAAUCCGUCCAGCCAGCUCCUAAGGCGUAGGAGCAGACUACAGAGCGCGAUAGAACUAUGAGUUAAAGUCAUAUAAUCAACUGCUUUUAUGUCAUGUCUAAAUUAAAUGCAUUGUUAAUUGAUUAAUAAUUAUUGUGAUCAUUAUUAGCAUUAUUAUUAGUAAUUUUAUUUGAUUAAAAAUUAUUAUGAUUAUUGUUAUUAGUAUUAUUAUUAUUAAUUUAUUUUCAUUUUUAUCAUUAUCAUUAUUAAUAUUAUUAUCAUUAUUUUUGCUAUCAUAUUUAUUUUUAUUUUAAUAUUAUUAUUAUUAUUAUUACACAUAAUUUUCAUGUUUGCUAUACUCGAGACUAUUCAACUUUAAUUCUUAAUAUGUUAUUGAAUAAUUAUGUUUACUUGUGAUUUAUACUAUUUAUAAUUAUUGUUGAUACUAUGAUUGUAACCUCAGAAUGAGGCGACAAUAAAACAUUCCACCUGAUGGGUUGCAUCAAGACCGCGUGCGUACCGGUAUUAAAUAGAGAUAGGUAGUAAAAUAAUAUUUUUUUGAGAUUUGACCUGGUCGAGUACAACUUUCUAGGCUAUGAGAAUUUGAUCACCGGAGGAAAGGUCACUGGUCAAGUGUUGCUCUCUAGGCAUCGGCUUUAUUAGGAAUUAAGUGAUUAGACUGGAUGUAAGGACCCUGGUCGAGCUUUGCUCUCUAGGCGGCAGUCUUAUUAGAAUAAGAUGGCCGAAUGGCUAAUAGAAUUGGAGUUUAGGAUUCUGUUGGGGUACUCGUUUCAUAAACAUUUAAAUAGUAUUUUUCUAAAUCAUGGCAUGACACGUGUUUUGAUAUAAUAUGAUAUUUUAUUCUGACUAAAUAAAUAUUUUAAUGAGAUGGCUAUAUUUUUUUAGGAUUAUGUGUUUUUAACUCACUCUUGAGGCUGACAGUUUCAAUUUUAAUUUUUUAGGUGACAGCUAGGUUCCUCGCCGUCUCUCUUUUGAAGCCUGACAUCCUUCUCCUUCGGGCCUAUUGUAAUUAAUUUCUGCUUUUUACAUUUCGAAUUAUUUAAAAUUCUAGACUCCCUGCAGUAGUGUACCUGAUAUAUUACGUUUGAAUUUGGUCUAUAACAAGUUAUAAGAUGUUUGCUAGUAAUCCAGCUGGAGGAUUAAUCUAAUUAUGUAC